GGUUUGCCAUCCUCUCUAGCCCACAAAGUAUGAUUUUCUGGUCUGCAAUCGCCAGACUUUUUGUAGAAACCCCUACCCCUAUUUUUUUCGAGUUUCUGUCCCUUUCUUUUUGGAUUUUCUUACACCGGAAGUUGUUGCUGACCACCAGUCUGGGGUCCAUUGGUUGGGCCGUCAUAGCCCCAGUCAUUAUCGACUAGAGCUAUGCCAACAAUGAUCUACUGCUCCGAGAGGAAAAGGGAGAAAACAAUCCCCU
rnacentral:lncRNA from 1 species